AACGAACGCUGGCGGCAGGCCUAACACAUGCAAGUCGAGCGAAGCCUUCGGGCUUAGCGGCGGACGGGUGAGUAACGCGUGGGAACGUGCCCUUUGGUACGGAAUAGCCCCGGGAAACUGGGAGUAAUACCGUAUGUGGUCGAGAGACGAAAGAUUUAUCGCCAAAGGAUCGGCCCGCGUUGGAUUAGGUAGUUGGUGGGGUAAUGGCCUACCAAGCCGACGAUCCAUAGCUGGUUUGAGAGGAUGAUCAGCCACACUGGGACUGAGACACGGCCCAGACGCCUACGGGAGGCAGCAGUGGGGAAUCUUAGACAAUGGGGGAAACCCGGAUCUAGCCAUGCCGCGUGAUCGAUGAAGGCCUUAGGGUUGUAAAGAUCUUUCAGUGGGGAAGAUAAUGACUGUACCCACAGAAGAAGCCCCGGCUAACUCCGUGCCAGCCGCCGCAGUAACAC
rnacentral:rRNA from 1 species